AAAGGAAUUGACGGGCACCCGCACAAGUGGUGGAGCAUGCUGUUUAAUUCGAAAAUACGCGAAGAACCUUACCUGGGCUUGACAUAACGUUGAAAACUCUGGAAACAGAGUCCUCUCUUCGGAGACAACGCUACAGGUGGUGCAUGGUUGUCGUCAGCUCGUGUCGUGAGAUGUUUGGUUAAGUCCAAUAACGAGCGCAACCCUUAUCCUUAAUUGCUAACAUUUAGUUGAGAACCUUAAGGAGACUGCCGGUGACAAACCGGAGGAAGAUGAGGAUGAUGUCAAAUCAUCAUGCCCCUUACGUCCAGGGCUACAGGCGUGCUACAAUGGCCGAUAUAAAAAGACGCAAUACCGUGAGGUGGAGCAAAUCUCCAAAGUCGGCCUCAGUUCGGACUGGAGUCUGCAACUCGACUCCACGAAGUUGGAAUCACUAGUAAUCGUGAAUCAGAAUGUCACGGUGAAUACGUUCCCGGGUGUUGUACACACCGCCCGU
rnacentral:rRNA from 1 species